rnacentral:rRNA from 1 species
AUGGCCAUUGGCAUUGGCAUUGCAGGAUACUUCCACCCAGCUUCCUUCCUCUCCUCUCCUCUCCCCCAUAUAGUUCUUCUUGCUAGCCACUGCUUGCUUCUUCUCCUUCUCGCUCCAUUGAACAUUGAUCCAGAGGCUGCGGCGUGCGCAUGGAACAGGCGCUGACGGGCGAGCAGAUGGUGGCGUUCCAGGAGGCCUUCUCCCUCUUCGACAAGAACGGCGAUGGAUGCAUCAGCUUGGAAGAGCUGGCCGCGGUGACUCGCUCCCUCGGCCUCGAUCCGACCAACCAAGAGCUCAAUGACAUGAUGCGUGAAGUCGACAUGGAUGGAAAUGGCACCAUUGAUUUCCAGGAGUUCUUGAGCCUCAUUGCCAGGAAGAUGCAGGAUGGAGAUGGAGAUGAAGAGCUCAAGGAAGCUUUCGAGGUCCUGGACAAGGAUCGGAAUGGUUUUAUCUCCCCUGUUGAGCUGAGGACGGUGAUGAUCAAUCUCGGGGAGAAGAUGACCGACGAGGAGGUUGAGCAGAUGAUCAGGGAGGCGGACACUGAUGGCGACGGGCAGGUGAACUACGACGAAUUCGUGCUCAUGAUGAAGAAUGCCGAGCGCAAGAUAACUGGGUGAACAAAAUUAAAUAUGCUGUUUGCUCUAAAAAUAUAUAUGCUGGCGAUAGAUGUGAAACCACUGGUUCUCAGAUUGGAUGCACUGUCUCCGUUGUAAAUUCGCUGCUUGUGGUACUGUUAUUUUCUGAAGCCACUGUAAGCUUGUGUAUUCAUCUUAGAAGCUGUUUGUGCACUAUAUAAACGGCAAUUGCCACAUAUAUUUACACCACGUUCUUUGGUUCUU